ensembl:lncRNA
AAGUAAAUAUAAAAGAAUCGCAUACUUAAUUCAUUCACAGUAGUUGUGCACUGAACUCAAAAACUUAAUUUUUUUAGAUUCUAAAUCAGUUUUUCUGAUUGCAGGAUGGAGAGGAGCUUAUAGUCAAUGAGAAUAUGAAGAUAGUACAACAUGGCGCGCGUUGCUCCAUGACCAUAGUGUGCAGUGAGGGUGAGGACAGCGGCAUUUACACCUGUUAUGCUCACAACGACUCUGGCCAGGCCUCCUGUGAAGCACAGCUUACAGUUGAAGAGGGUGAGGCAUCCGCUUGCUUCUCUUUCUGCACAACUUGCACAAAUACUAUCAAUCACGGUGGUGAAUGGACGGUGAAAUGGUACAAGAUGAUCAUUUGAUUCUCUGUAGGUCCACUUGAGUCUCAAGAAAGAGAGGUGGAGCUGGGCAAAAGAAGGAAACUUUUCUCUGUGUAUGACGUCCAUGAGGAGAUUGGAAGGUAAGUAGGAAAAAGCUGCUUUCUUUGUCCAGGAACGGAGACCAACUCCAAUGAUCAUGAAACUUUGUGUUUUGAAGGGGAACAUUUGGGGUGGUGAAGCGUGUUAUUCACAGACGAACGGGCGAAGUCUUCGCUGCCAAGUUCCUGCCUCUGCGGAGCAGCACUCGUACCCGAGCCUUUCAGGAGAGGGACCUGCUGUCCCGCCUGGCUCACCCCAGGAUCGCCUGUCUGCUGGAUUUCUUCUGCACCAGGCGCACGCUGGUUCUGAUCUCAGAAAUGUGUUGCUCUCAUGGACUCCUGGAUCAUUUGUUACUCCAAAGCUCUGUCUCAGAGAGAGAGAUUCAGUUCUAUAUCCAACAAAUUCUCGAGGGAGUUGGUCAUAUUCACAGCAUGAACAUUUUGCAUCUAGACAUUAAGGUGAGAUUUUUGUCACAGUAAACAUUUCAACCAUAAUCAUAUCAGAACUUCACUUUUUUUUAAUGUUUUUAUAUAUUUGUUUCCCAUUCAGCCCGAUAAUAUUUUAAUGGUUUAUCCUCCACGAGAUGAGAUCAAGAUCUGUGACUUUGGCUUCUGCCAGGAAAUAGACGCAUCCCGACAUCAGUAUAGUGUGUAUGGAACGCCCGAGUUUGUUGCACCUGAGAUUGUUCACCAAGAACCGGUCACCGUGGCCUCUGAUAUUUGGUAAAUUUAUCCAGAAAUCUGAAACUUUAAUACAAUUUAAAUAGCAAAAACAGUAUUUUUAUCUAAGCCAUGUUUUUUUUUUAGGGCUGUGGGUGUGGAAACAUACCUGUGGUGAGUGCUUUAAAAAUGAUAAUUUAGCCCCACUACUGUUUUUAAUGCUUCAUAUACUGAAUAAUCUUUGUCUUUGCUCUGAUAGCCUCGUGGGUCGAUGCCCUUUCGUUGGAGAAACUGACCGUGCAACGCUCUUGAUGGUUGGGGAGGGAACUCUAAACUGGGACACUCCAGACGUUAACUGCAGAAGUCCUGAAGCCAAGAAGUUUCUUCGCAUGGUCCUUCAACCAGAUCCAGAGUAUGGCAGCAGCAGCUAUUGAGCUUUUACUCUAAUUCUACCUUAUAUGAACAUUUACUGACAUUUAAAUCUGGAUUUUACCUGCGAUUUUUGAG